AACGAACGCUGGCGGCAUGCCUAACACAUGCAAGUCGAACGAGACCUUCGGGUCUAGUGGCGCACGGGGGCGUAACGCGUGGGAACCUGCCCUUAGGUGCGGAAUAACUCCCCGAAAGGGGUGCUAAUACCGGAUAAUGGCUUCGGACCAAAGAUUUAUCGCCUUAGGAUGGGCCCGCGUUGGAUUAGCUAGUUGGUAGGGUAAAAGCCUACCAAGGCGACGAUCCAUAGCUGGUCUGAGAGGAUGAUCAGCCACACUGGGACUGAGACACGGCCCAGACUCCUACGGGAGGCAGCAGUGGGGAAUAUUGGACAAUGGGCGAAAGCCUGAUCCAGCAAUGCCGCGUGAGUGAUGAAGGCCUUAGGGUUGUAAAGCUCUUUUAGCCGGGAUGAUAAUGACAGUACCGGGAGAAUAAGCGCCGGCUAACUCCGUG
rnacentral:rRNA from 1 species